UACGGGGGGGGCAAGCGUUGUUCGGAAUUACUGGGCUUAAAGCGCGCGUAGGCGGGUCGUUAAGUGUUCGCGUGAAAUCCCACGGCUCAACCGUGGAACUGCCGGGCAUACUGGCGACCUUGAGGCACUCAGGGGCGAGCGGAACAGGCGGUGGAGCGGUGAAAUGCGUAGAUAUCGCCUGGAACGCCAAUGGUGAAAACAGCUCGCUGGGGGUGUCCUGACGCUGAGGCGCGAAAGCCAGGGGAGCAAACGGG
rnacentral:rRNA from 1 species